rnacentral:lncRNA from 1 species
GGUUUCUCCUCUUCAAGUGCUGGUUUCUCUUCAAAUGAUAGUUCAUUAGGUGUUUCUUCCCGUGUUGGUUCUUCAUGUGCUUCUUCAGUUACUGGUUUUUCAGGUUUCUCCUCAAUUGUUGGUUCUUCGCUUGUCUUCUCAACUGAUGGUUCCUCAUGCUUCUCUCCCGUUGUUGAUUUUUCGGGUUUCUCUUCAGUUGUCGAUGGUUCAGUUUUUUUCUCAACCGCUGGUUCUUUUGGCUUCUCCAAAACCAUUUCCGAUUUCUCUUCAGUUGGUGGUUCUUCAUGGUUUUUUUCAACUACUGGUUCUUCUCUUUUUUCCUCAACUGAUGCAUAGUCAGCAAUAUCGUUGUUGGUAUUGCUUGGAAUUGCAUUGUCUGUCUUGUCCUUUGAGCUUACAAUUGGCAUAUUCUGCUAGAAAAAUAUAAAGUUUCAUGUAGUCUUUCAACAGAGAAACCAAUGUAAAUUUGUUGCACAUAUAAAGCUAACAAAUAUGAUGGAUAGACUUUGCGAGAGUGUUUAAUACUCACCUUCUCCGGAAGAGCUUCCGUUUCAGGUUCCUCUUCAAUUUCUGCUUUUUCAUCUUUCUCUUCAACAACUAGUUCUUCAGGUGUCUCUUCAACCGUUGAUUCUUCAGGUUUCUCUUCAAGUGUUAGUUCUUGAGGUGUUUCCUCCUUUGCUAGCUCUUCAGGUGUUUCUGUAACUGCCGGUUCUUCAGGUUCCUCUUCAGCCACCGGCUGUUGACGUAUCUCCUCUACUUGUACUUCAGAUUUCUCCUCAAUUGUUGGUUCUUCAGGUUUCUCCUUAACCGCUGGUACAUCAGGUUUAUCCUCAUUGACUGGUUCUUCAACUGCUGAUUCUUCUAGAUUUUCCUCAAUGUCUGGAAAGCGAGCAACAUCAUUAUUGGUAUUGCAUGGAAUUUCAUUUCCAGUUUCGUUAUUCGAGUCUACAAUUAGCAUAUUCUGCAAAAAGAAUUUAAUGUUUCAUUUAGCCUUUCAAUAAAGAAGCAUAUGCGAAUAACAGUACAUGCAUAACUAACAAAAUGGAUAAACUUUGUGAUAGUGCUUGAUCCUUACCUUUGCCAAAAGAGUUACCUUUUCAGGUUUCUCCUCUUCAACGGUUGGUUCUUCAUGUUUCUUUUCAAAUGCUAGUUCCUUGGUUGUUUCUUCCGGUGUUGGUUCCAUAGGUGUUUCUUCAGUUACUUGUUUUUCGGGUUUCUCUUCAAUUAUUGGUUCUUCGAUUGUCUUCUCAACUGAUGGUUCUUCAAGAUUUUCUCCCACUGUUGGUUUUUGGGGUUUCUCUUCUAUUGUUGGUUGUUCAGGAAUUUUCUCAACUGGUGGUUCUGCUGGAUAUUCCAAAACCAUUGAUUCUUCAGAUUUCUCUUCAAUUGAUGGUUCUUCAUGGGUUUUUUCAACUACUGGUUCUUCAAUUUUUUCCUCAACAGAUGCAUAGUCAACAAUAUCAUUAUUGGUAUUGCUUGGAAUUGCAUCGUCUGUCAUGUCCUUUGAGUUUACUUUUGGCAUAUUCUGCAAUAGAGUUUCAUGUAAUCUUUCAACAGAUAAACAGAUGUAAAUUUGUUGCACAUAUAAAGCUAAUAUGGUGGAUAAACUUUGUGACAGUGUUUAAUCCUCACCUUCUCCUGAAGAUCUUCCGCUUCAAGUUCCUCCUCUACAAUUGCAGUUUUUUCCUCUUCCCCUUCAACAACUAGUUCUUCAGGUGCCUCUUCAGCCGUUGAUUCUUCAGGUUUCUCUUCAAGUGCUAGUUCUUCAGGUGUUUCCUCCUUUGCCAGCUCUUCAGGUGUUUCUUUAGAUGCCGAUUCUUCAGGUUUCUCUUCAGCCAUCGGUUCUUGAGGUAUUUCCUCUACUUGUACUUCAUAUUUCUCCUCAAUUGUUUGUUCUUCAGGUUUCUCUUCAGGUUUCUCCUUAACCACUGGUACAUCAGGUUUCUCUUGAUUAACUGGUUCUUUGGGUUUUUCUUCAACAGCCGAAUCUUCAGGAUUUUCCUCAAUGUCUUGAAAGCAAGCAAUAUCUUUAGUGGUAUUGCAUGGAAUUUCACUGCCAGUUUUGUUGUUCGAGUCUACAAUUAGCAUAUUCUGCAAAAGGAAUUUGAUGUUUCAUUUAGCCUUUUAAUAAAGAAGCAGAUGUGAAUAACAUUACAUGCAUAACUUACAAAAUGGAUAAAUUUUGUGACAGUCCUUGACCCUUACCUUUUCAGGUUUCUCCUCUUCAACAGCUGAUUCUUCAUGUUUCUCUUCAAAUGCUAGUUCUCUGGGUGUUUCUUCCCGUAGUGCUUCUUCAUGUGCUUCUUCAGUUACUGGUUUUUCAGGUUUCUCCUCAAUUGUUGGUUCUUUGAUUGUCUCCUCAACAGAUGGUUCUUCAAGCUUCUCUCCCGUUGUUGAUUUUUCUGGUUUCUCUUCAAUUGCUGGUUGUUCAGGAAUUUUCUCAACAGCUGGUUCUUCUGGCUUCUCUAAAACCAUUGAUUCUUCAGCUUUCUCUUCAAUUGAUGGUUCUUCAUGGUUUUUUUCAACUAUUGGUUCUUCAGUUUUUUCCUCAACGGAUGCAUAGUCAACAAUAUCAUUGUUGGUAUUGCUUGGAAUUGCAUCGUCUGUCAUGUCCUUUGAGUUUACUUUUGGCAUAUUCUACAAUAAAGUUUCAUGUAGUCUUUCAAUAGAUAAACAGAUGUAAAUUUGUUGCAACAUAUAAAGCUAAUAUGGUGGAUAAACUUUGUGACAGUGUUUAAUCCUCACCUUCUCCCGAAGAUCUUCCGCUUUAAGUUCCUCCUCUUCAAUUGCUGUUUUUUCAUCUUUCGUUUCAACAACUAGUUCUUCAGGUGCCUCUUCAGCCGUUGAUUCUUCAGGUUUUUCUUCAAGUGCCAGCUCUUCAGGUGUUUCCUCCUUUGCCAUCUCUUCAGGUGUUUCCUCCUUUGCCAGCUCUUCAGGUGUUUCUUUAGCUGCUGGUUCUUCAGGUUUCUCUUCAGCCGCCAGUUCUUGAGGUAUCUCCUUUUCUACUUCAGAUUUCUCCUCAACUGUUGGUUCUUCAGGUUUCUCUUCAUUAACUGGUUCUUUGGGUUUUUCUUCAACAGCCGAAUCUUCAGGAUUUUCCUCAAUGUCUGGAAAGUGAGCAACAUCUUUAUUGGUAUUGCAUGCAAUUUCACUGUCAGUUUUGUCGUUCAAGUCUACAAUUAGCAUAUUCUGCAAAAAGAAUUUGAUGUUUCAUUUAGCCUAUUAAUAAAGAAGCAGAUGUGAAUAACAUUACAUGCAUAACUUACAAAAUGGAUAAACUUUGUGAUGGUCCUUGACCCUUACCUUUCCAGGCUUCUCCUCUUCAACGGCCAGUUCUUGUUUCUCUUCAAAUGCUAGUUCCCUGGGUGUUUCUUCCUGUAUUGGUUCUUCAUGUGCUUCUUCAGGUACUGGUUUUUCAGGUUUCUCCUCAAUUGUUGGUUCUUCGAUUGUCUCCUCAACAGAUGGUUCUUCAAGGUUCUCUCCCGUUGUUGAGUCUUCUGGUUUCUCUUCAAUUGCUGGUUGUUCAGAAAUUUUCUCAACAGCUGGUUCUUCUGGCUUCUCCAA